AUUUGCACAAACAAAUUCAAAGUCUGCAAACCAAAUGCUAAUUGCCAGACAGUCGUUUUGGAAGUUCUGGGCUGAGAGGGAGAGAAGGAGAGAGGGGCAAAGUGAGUUAUGUAAUUACCGCCGCGAUGCUGCUCAAGUCGAAGGAGCAAGGAGGGGUAGCUAAGCUGCAGCUUAGACGCUACAUAAAGGCAAAUGCGACUGAUGUAACCACAACAACUUAAACAACAAUUACAAAAAUAAUCAGGAAACAACACAGCAGCAGUAACAACAACAACAACAGCAACAACAACGACAGCAGCUACAAGAGAGUUUGGCCGAAGCCUUCCGACGAUAACGACCACAGUCCUAGAACAAGAACAAGAACAAGAAUAAGAACAAGGCAUCGAGCACAACAGAAAAGGAAAUGUCUGAAAGUAAAACAGGGAAAGCUAAGUGGGCAGUAGAUGGGCGGGAGAUGGUAUAAAGAUAAUAGGGAGAUGUGUCUUAAGUGUUUGCUUUGCCACGUCCAGUUCCCUGACACGCACCAACUGACCACGCUUACGCCCUUGCCCUCGCCCACGCUCGCGCCCACGUCACGCCCAC